UACGGGGGGGGGCAAGCGUUGUUCGGAAUUACUGGGCGUAAAGGGCUCGUAGGUGGCCAACUAAGUCAGACGUGAAAUCCCUCAGCUUAACUGGGGAACUGCGUCUGAUACUGGAUGGCUUGAGUUUGGGAGAGGGAUGCGGAAUUCCAGGUGUAGCGGUGAAAUGCGUAGAUAUCUGGAGGAACACCGGUGGCGAAGGCGGCAUCCUGGACCAACACUGACGCUGAGUGAGCGAAAGCCAGGGGAGCAAACGGG
rnacentral:rRNA from 1 species